UACGGAGUGUGCGAGCGUUGUCCGGAAUCAUUGGGCGUAAAGGGCGCGUAGGUGGCUUCUUAAGCGUGCGGUGAAAGCCUGGGGCUCAACCCCGGGUCGGCCGUGCGAACUGGGGGGCUGGAGCACUGUAGAGGCAGGCGGAAUUCCGGGUGUAGCGGUGGAAUGCGUAGAGAUCCGGAAGAACACCGGUGGCGAAGGCGACCUGCUGGGCAGUUGCUGACACUGAGGCGCGACAGCGUGGGGAGCAAACAGG
rnacentral:rRNA from 1 species